rnacentral:rRNA from 1 species
AUUGAACGCUGGCGGCAGGCUUAACACAUGCAAGUCGAACGGUAACAUAAAGGAGCUUGCUUCUUUGAUGACGAGUGGCGGACGGGUGAGUAAUGCUUGGGAAUCUAGCUUAUGGAGGGGGAUAACUACGGGAAACUGUAGCUAAUACCGCGUAGAAUCGGGAGAUGAAAGUGUGGGACCUUCGGGCUACAUGCCAUAGGAUGAGCCCAAGUGGGAUUAGGUAGUUGGUGAGGUAAAGGCUCACCAAGCCGACGAUCUCUAGCUGGUCUGAGAGGAUGACCAGCCACACUGGGACUGAGACACGGCCCAGACUCCUACGGGAGGCAGCAGUGGGGAAUAUUGCGCAAUGGGGGCAACCCUGACGCAGCCAUGCCGCGUGAAUGAAGAAGGCCUUCGGGUUGUAAAGUUCUUUCGGUAGCGAGGAAGGCAUUUAGUUUAAUAGACUAAGGUGAUUUGACGUAAACUACAGAAA